AUCACUGGGUGGGCCGUGGCGGGGAGACCUUCGGGUCUGCCGGUUUCCUUUGUGGCCGGUUCGCCAACCCCGUUACGUGCCCGCCCACCCCA
rnacentral:antisense_RNA from 1 species